UACAGAGGGGGCAAGCGUUGUUCGGAAUUCCUGGGCGUAAAGGGCGCGUAGGCGGCCUGCUAAGUCGAACGUGAAAUCCCCGGGCUCAACCCGGGAACUGCGUCCGAUACUGGCAGGCUUGAAUCCGGGAGAGGGAUGUGGAAUUCCAGGUGUAGCGGUGAAAUGCGUAGAUAUCUGGAGGAACACCGGUGGCGAAGGCGGCAUCCUGGACCGGCAUUGACGCUGAGGCGCGAAAGCCAGGGGAGCAAACGGG
rnacentral:rRNA from 1 species